rnacentral:rRNA from 1 species
GACGAACGCUGGCGGCGUGCUUAACACAUGCAAGUCGAACGGAGCACCCUUGAAUGAGACUUCGGUCAAAGGAAAGGAAUGCUUAGUGGCGGACUGGUGAGUAACGCGUGAGGAACCUGCCUUUCAGAGGGGGACAACAGUUGGAAACGACUGCUAAUACCGCAUGACGCAUUCGGAUGGCAUCAUCUGAAUGCCAAAGAUUUAUCGUGGAAAGAUGGCCUCGCGUCUGAUUAGAUAGUUGGCGGGGUAACGGCCCACCAAGUCGACGACCAGUAGCCGGACUGAGAGGUUGACCGGCCACAUUGGGACUGAGAUACGGCCCAGACUCCUACGGGAGGCAGCAGUGGGGAAUAUUGGGCAAUGGGCGCAAGCCUGACCCAGCAACGCCGCGUGAAGGAAGAAGGCUUUCGGGUUGUAAACUUCUUUUAAGAGGGAAGAGCAGAAGACGGUACCUCUUGAAUAAGCCACGGCUAACUACAUGACAGCCGCCGCCGUAA